rnacentral:misc_RNA from 1 species
GAUGAAGAACGUAGCGAAAUGCGAUAAGUAAUGUGAAUUGCAGAAUUCAGUGAAUCAUCGAAUCUUUGAACGCACCUUGCACCCUUUGGCAUUCUGAAGGGUAUGCUCGUUUGAGUGUCAUUGUACUCUCACACUCCCGAUCUUUGCAUUGGGAGCAGUGGACUUGGGUGUUGCUGCUUUAGUUGUGGCUCACCUCAAAUAAGUUAGUGCAACUCUUGGUUGGACAUAGUACGGCGUGAUAAGUGUCUUCGCCGGCGCCUCUGUAAGGAGGGUGGCCGAUCGGGAGCUCUGUGCUUCAAACCGUCUUCGGACAAUCUUUGACAACUUGACCUCAAAUCGAGUAGGACUACCCGCUGAACUUAAGCAUAUCAAUAAGCGGAGGA